UACGUAGGGAGCAAGCGUUGUCCGGAAUCAUUGGGCGUAAAGCGCGCGUAGGUGGCCUCGUAAGUCCGCUGUAAAAGUCAAAGGCUCAACCUUUGAAAGCCGGUGGAUACUGCGGGGCUAGAGUACGGAAGAGGCGAGUGGAAUUCCUGGUGUAGCGGUGGAAUGCGCAGAUAUCAGGAGGAACACCGAUGGCGAAGGCAGGUCUCUGGGCCACUACUGACGCUGAGAAGCGAAAGCAUGGGGAGCGAACAGG
rnacentral:rRNA from 1 species